rnacentral:rRNA from 1 species
AUUGAACGCUGGCGGCAGGCCUAACACAUGCAAGUCGAACGAGUGGCAGACGGGUGAGUAAUAUCUGGGAAACUGCCCGAUGGAGGGGGAUAACUACUGGAAACGGUAGCUAAUACCGCAUACCAUCGGAUGUGCCCAGAUGGGAUUAGCUAGUAGGGGGUGUAACGGCUCACCUAGGCGACGAUCCCUAGCUGGUCUGAGAGGAUGACAAGCCACACUGGAACGGAGAUCCGGUCAAGAGUCCUACGGGAGGCAGCAGUGGGUAAUAUUGCACAAUUGGAGCAAGCCGGAUGCAGCCAUGCCGGGUGUAUGGAGAAGGCCUUCGGGUUGUAAAGUACUUUCAGCGAGGAGGCGUUACUCGCAGAAGAAGCACCGGCUAACUCCGGGCCAGCAGCCGCGGUAAUAC